AGUGAACGCUGGCGGUAGGCCUAACACAUGCAAGUCGAACGGCAGCACAGUAAGAGCUUGCUCUUACGGGUGGCGAGUGGCGGACGGGUGGGGAAUACAUCGGAAUCUACUUUUUCGUGGGGGAUAACGUAGGGAAACUUACGCUAAUACCGCACACGACCUACGGGUGAAAGCAGGGGAUCUUCGGACCUUGCGCGAUUGAAUGAGCCGAUGUCGGAUUAGCUAGUUGGCGGGGUAAAGGCCCACCAAGGCGACGAUCCGUAGCUGGUCUGAGAGGAUGAUCAGCCACACUGGAACUGAGACACGGUCCAGACUCCUACGGGAGGCAGCAGUGGGGAAUAUUGGACAAUGGGCGCAAGCCUGAUCCAGCCAUACCGCGUGGGUGAAGAAGGCCUUCGGGUUGUAAAGCCCUUUUGUUGGGAAAGAAAAGCAGCAGGUUAAUACCCCGCUGUUCUGACGGUACCCAAAGAAUAAGCACCGGCUAACUUCGUG
rnacentral:rRNA from 1 species